rnacentral:tRNA from 1 species
GCGGUAGUAGUUCAAUGGUAGAAUGUCUGCUUCCCAAGCAGAAGGUCGCCGGUUCGAUCCCGGUCUACCGCUC